rnacentral:tRNA from 1 species
GGGGGCGUAGCUCAGUUGGGAGAGCGCCGCGUUCGCAACGCGGAGGUCGUCGGUUCGAUCCCGUCCGCCUCCACCA